UUAAUCAGUCAAUUUGCCAAAAAUACACUUGAAUUGUGUAAGAAAGAAAGAAAUUGGCAAACAUAUUUCACAUUCUUUGUACAGCAGUGCAUUACAUUAUGGACUAUACACAGUCGGGUAGUGAUAUAAAGAAUUUACUGCAGAUUUACAGGUGGCUACAGUCUUCAAACACUGUGGAAACAUUUUGCUUAAUUUUUCCUCUAAAAAAGUAAAAGAAAAGUUAGUGUUACAUCAUUAUUUUUGUUCAGCUUCUUCAAGCGUCAAAAAGAUAAAAUUCAAGAUAUAAUUUGUAUUUCUUCAUUUUGUCACUUUAGUGCCCAAUUGCAAUCAUGACAUAGUCAUAUUUCUUUUGUAGUUCAAACUAAAUGUUGCGGUUCAUUCAAUUUCACCAAUCAGAGACAAGCUUUUCAAAUCGACAGGUAAUUGUCCAAUCGCGUGCUGGCAUAUAAAGUAUAUGAAAUAAAGUACCUCUCAUAGACUAUUUUAGUGCCGACGGCAUGAUGACGUCACGGCGCCAGCAGGAGGCGGCCAAUACAAACCAGCACAGGGAAAAAUUCAAACCAGCAUUCGAUUCACAAGGAACACGAACAUCAUCUUGUGCUGGAGUACAGGAUCUCAUUUUAAAUGUUAUCUCAUACCUGCUGCCAGAAGAACAAAAACCAUAACAGCUUGUGCUUAAACACAAGCAAAUGAGCGGACUGGACUGAAACAAUCAUCAAAAGAGCACAAUUCAUAUCAGAUGUGUACAAAGACUUAAUUGUAAAAAUGGGAUGCUUUCAAGAGAGGAGAAGACAUCUGGAAGACCAGUACACAGCAAGGAAAAAACCUAUUGAGGCUGUCACAAGUACCUCAAAAUCUCAACCACAACUGCAAGUAUCUCAAAAUGCAGCUAAAGUUGCAAUGGGAGAACUUAACAGAGACCU